rnacentral:rRNA from 1 species
AUAAGUAGGGGGCGAGCGUUGUCCGGAAUGAUUGGGCGUAAAGGGCGCGUAGGCGGCCCGGUAAGUCUGGAGUGAAAGUCCUGUUUUUAAGAUGGGAAUUGCUUUGGAUACUGUCGGGCUUGAGUGCAGGAGAGGUAAGUGGAAUUCCCAGUGUAGCGGUGAAAUGCGUAGAGAUUGGGAGGAACACCAGUGGCGAAGGCGACUUACUGGGCCGUAACUGACGCUGAGGCGCGAAAGCGUGGGGAGCGAACAGGAUUAGAUACCCUGGUAGUCCACGCGGUAAACGAUGAAUGCUAGGUGUUGCGGGGAUCGACCCCUGCAGUGCCGGAGUAAACACAAUAAGCAUUCCGCCUGGGGAGUACGGCCGCAAGGUUGAAACUCAAAUGAAUUGGCGGGG